rnacentral:lncRNA from 1 species
GUAAAGUAGAACAAAAUCAAUAAAAUAAAGAGUAGAAUACAUGUACACAAAAUAAAUUUUAUGGAUUGUUAAGAAGAGGAAAUAGAAAGUUGGCUGGCUAAAUAAUAAAAAGGACCAAAUUGUCAAACUACUGUCAACACAAAUGAUGGAUCUUACACAUAAUCAAGUUUAUAAAUUAUUCAAAGGCAGAAGCAAUAGCAGGACUUAGGCCAAGCAUUCUUCCUCUAGAGAGAUUUGACACUGUCAGUAUAAUUCUCCAAAUGCAAUUUCUCUUCCACAUUUGGAAAAGAUCUGGUCCAGAUUUCAGAUGUGAUGUUGAACAAUGCUUGUGGAUCAUUGUUAGAAGAGAGGGCCUCAUUCAGUAAUGGAACCCCUCUUUUUUAUAUCCCGUUAACAACAUAAUUUACGUGACCUUUUCCAGUGGGCCAUGACUCAUAAAUCCAUAAACUGUAGGCUCCUUUACAUCAAACAGAGACCAGGCAGAUCCUGAUAAAAGCAUUUUAAAGAUGUCAUUCCUGAAAGAUUUUCUGAUAAAUGUGAGGCAAUUUUCGGUAUGCUGCAAAUACACUGCAUCAGCAGCCUAUAGAAGUAACGCUACCAAGAUUUGAAUGAUAUUAAACAAUUUGUCAGCUAUUUAUAAUUAAAUCAAUAUCACCUUUUUUGGAAGCACAUCUUCGUCAAUCAAAUUCCUUGAGGUGGCUGCCCUGAUAUUCAUCAGUUCCUGAUUGCUGACAUCUGAAACAUACAGGAAUCAUGAGUUAAAGGCCAAGCCAUUUUGAAAAUGUAUUAGGUCCAUUACCACUAAAUCACGGAUUAUCUACCAGAAUAAAAACUCAUCUAAUUUUGUCCAUUUUGAUUUCAUUUAUCUGUAUUCCAAUGAUAUGGUAAUUGUUGACCAAUUUAUACUUGUCUACUGUUUUACAUAUUUUGUUUUUUUUUAACCAGAAGUCACCAAGAAAUGUAUAAUUAAUGAAAAAUGCUGUCAAAAUUCAUUGACAUUGCAUGGUAUUAUGCCAAUUCAUAAACGC